rnacentral:rRNA from 1 species
CGUAUCACCCAAGACAACUUUACGGAGUUGACGAUUGACGGAGCGAAGCGACGUCAAAGCGUUCAUUAAAGUCGAGUUGGCUUAGGGAUACGUUCGUUGGGUAGGGGAGCGUUCUGUAAGCCUGUGAAGGUGUGUCGUGAGGCAUGCUGGAGGUAUCAGAAGUGCGAAUGCUGACAUAAGUAACGAUAAAGCGGGUGAAAAGCCCGCUCGCCGGAAGACCAAGGGUUCCUGUCCAACGUUAAUCGGGGCAGGGUGAGUCGACCCCUAAGGCGAGGCCGAAAGGCGUAGUCGAUGGGAAACGGGUUAAUAUUCCCGUACUUGGUGUUACUGCGAAGGGGGGACGGAGAAGGCUAUGUUGGCCGGGCGACGGUUGUCCCGGUUUAAGCGUGUAGGUGUGUGUUCCAGGUAAAUCCGGUUCACUUUAACACUGAGGCGUGACGACGAGGCACUACGGUGCUGAAGCAACAAAUGCCCUGCUUCCAGGAAAAGCCUCUAAGCAUCAGGUAACACGAAAUCGUACCCCAAACCGACACAGGUGGUCAGGUAGAGAAUACCAAGGCGCUUGAGAGAAC